AUUGAACGCUGGCGGCAUGCUUUACACAUGCAAGUCGAACGGCAGCGCGGGCUUCGGCCUGGCGGCGAGUGGCGAACGGGUGAGUAAUGCAUCGGAACGUGCCCAGUAGUGGGGGAUAGCCCGGCGAAAGCCGGAUUAAUACCGCAUACGACCUGAGGGUGAAAGCGGGGGACCGAAAGGCCUCGCGCUAUUGGAGCGGCCGAUGUCGGAUUAGCUAGUUGGUUGGGUAAAGGCUUACCAAGGCGACGAUCCGCAGCUGGUCUGAGAGGACGACCAGCCACACUGGAACUGAGACACGGCCCAGACUCCUACGGGAGGCAGCAGUGGGGAAUUUUGGACAAUGGGGGCAACCCUGAUCCAGCCAUGCCGCGUGCGGGAAGAAGGCCUUCGGGUUGUAAACCGCUUUUGUUCGGGAAGAAAUCCUCUGGGCUAAUACCCCGGGGGGAUGACGGUACCGGAAGAAUAAGCACCGGCUAACUACGUG
rnacentral:rRNA from 1 species